UACGAAGGGAGCUAGCGUUGUUCGGAAUCACUGGGCGUAAAGCGCACGUAGGCGGAUUUGCCAGUCAGGGGUGAAAUCCCGGGGCUCAACCUCGGAACUGCCUUUGAUACAGCAAGUCUUGAGUUCGAGAGAGGUGGGUGGAAUUCCUAGUGUAGAGGUGAAAUUCGUAGAUAUUCGGCGGAACACCAGUGGCGAAGGCGACUCACUGGCCCGAUACUGACGCUGAGGCGCGAAAGCGUGGGGAGCAAACAGG
rnacentral:rRNA from 1 species